CCUUUUGGCAGGUCUGGUCACGUGAUUUGCGCCAGUGGCACACUCUUUUACACUACACAUUGACUUCUUGCUUCACCGGACACUGGUGUUAGGGGGUAUGGAUUUAAUUGAAAGAUGAAAGCAUGAAUUAGAGAGAGAUUAGCAUAGUGUAUGUGUUUUUCUAUAGCUGCAUCCUUUGAGUUUCCCUCCAACACCAUCUAAAUCAGAUACAUGACGCUUGGGAGGUAUGGUUGUUUUAGUGUUUUUGGUCGAUAAGAUUCUGUAAUUAGGCCCAUCAUAACUGUCAGCACCAGGCCCAAUAGGCUCUUAAUCC